GCCCUUAGAGUUUGAUCCUGGCUCAGAACGAACGCUGGCGGCGUGCUUAACACAUGCAAGUCCGACGUGAAAGGGGAGCAAUCCCCCGGUAGGGUGGCGAACGGGUGAGUAAGACAUGGGAAUCUGUCCUUGAGAUGGGGAUAUCCUUCCGAAAGGAGGGUUAAUACCGAAUACCGUCCGGUGGAUGAGAGUUCACCGGGGAAGGGGAGGCCUCUGGCAACACGCUUCCGCUCAGGGAGGAGCCCAUGCCCCAUCAGCUAGUUGGGAGGGUAACGGCCUACCAAGGCGAAGACGGGUAGCUGGUCUGAGAAGGACGAUCAACCACACUGGCACUGAGGACACGGCCCAGACUCCUUACGGAGAGGCAGCAGUGAGGAAUUUUGCGCAAUGGGGGCAACCCUGACGCAGCAACGCCGCGUGUGGGAAGGAAGGCUUUCGGGUUGUAAACCACUUUUGUAAGGGACGAAGUCCUUUCGGCAAAUAACCGAGGGGGAUGACGGUACCUUGCGAAUAAGCCCACGGCUAACUCUGUGCCAGCAGCCCGCGGUAAGACAGGGGGUGGCAAGCGUUUGUUCGGGAGUAACUGGGGCGUAAAGGGUCUGUAGGGUGGGUUUUUCAAGUCUUUGGUAAAACGGCCGUGGCCUCAACCCAUGGGUUUGGCCAAGGAGACUGGGGAGACCUCGAGGCUGGGAGAGAGGAAGCGGAAUUUUCUGGUGUAGCGGUGAAAUGCGUAGAGAUCAAAAAGAAAGCCCGUGGCGAAGGCGGCUUCCUGGAACAGACCUGACACUGAGAGACGAAAGCGUGGGGAGCAAACAGGAUUAGAUACCCUGGUAGUCCACGCCCUAAACGAUGGGAACUAAGUGUGGGGAGCAAUCCCCGUGCCGCAGCUAACGCAAUAAGUUCCCCGCCUGGGGAGUACGGCCGCAAGGUUGAAACUCAAAUGAAUUGACGGGGAAGGGC
rnacentral:rRNA from 1 species